CCUACGGGAGGCAGCAGUGAGGAAUAUUCGUCAAUGGACGAGAGUCUGAACCAGCCAAGUAGCGUGAAGGAUGACUGCCCUAUGGGCGGUAAACUUCUUUUAUAAAGGAAUAAAACGAGGCACGUGUGCCUUUUUGCAUUUACUUUAUGAAUAAGGAUCGGCUAACUCCGUUCCAGCAGCCGCGGUACUACGGAGGAUCCGAGCGUUAUCCGGAUUUCUUGGGUUUAAAGGGAGCGUAGAUGGGUUGUUAAGUCAGUUGUGAAAGUUUGCGGCUCAACCGUAAAAUUGCAAUUGAUACUGGCAGUCUUGAGUACAGUUGAGGUAGGCGGAAUUCGAGGUGUAGCGGUGAAAUGCUUAGAUAUCACGAAGAACACCGAUUGCGAAGGCAGCUUACUAAACUGUGACUGACAUUGAUGCUCGAAAGUGUGGGUAUCAAACAGGAUUAGAUAUCCCGGUAGUC
rnacentral:rRNA from 1 species